UACGGAGGGGGCUAGCGUUGUUCGGAAUUACUGGGCGUAAAGCGCACGUAGGCGGCUUUGUAAGUUAGAGGUGAAAGCCCAGGGCUUAACCCUGGAAUUGCCUUUAAGACUGCAUCGCUAGAAUCGUGGAGAGGUGAGUGGAAUUCCGAGUGUAGAGGUGAAAUUCGUAGAUAUUCGGAAGAACACCAGUGGCGAAGGCGACUCACUGGACACGUAUUGACGCUGAGGCACGAAAGCGUGGGGAGCAAACAGG
rnacentral:rRNA from 1 species